rnacentral:rRNA from 1 species
CCUACGGGAGGCAGCAGUGGGGAAUUUUGGACAAUGGGCGAAAGCCUGAUCCAGCAAUGCCGCGUGAGUGAAGAAGGCCUUCGGGUUGUAAAGCUCUUUUGUCAGGGAAGAAACGGUGAGAGCUAAUAUCUCUUGCUAAUGACGGUACCUGAAGAAUAAGCACCGGCUAACUACGUGCCAGCAGCCGCGGUAAUACGUAGGGUGCAAGCGUUAAUCGGAAUUACUGGGCGUAAAGCGUGCGCAGGCGGUUUUGUAAGUCUGAUGUGAAAUCCCCGGGCUCAACCUGGGAAUUGCAUUGGAGACUGCAAGGCUAGAAUCUGGCAGAGGGGGGUAGAAUUCCACGUGUAGCAGUGAAAUGCGUAGAUAUGUGGAGGAACACCGAUGGCGAAGGCAGCCCCCUGGGCCAAGAUUGACGCUCAUGCACGAAAGCGUGGGGAGCAAACAGGAUUAGAUACCCUGGUAGUCCACGCCCUAAACGAUGUCUACUAGUUGUCGGGUCUUAAUUGACUUGGUAACGCAGCUAACGCGUGAAGUAGACCGCCUGGGGAGUACGGUCGCAAGAUUAAAACGUCAAAGGAAUUGACGGNUGAGAGNGCGAGACGACGACGAGGGAGGAG